UAAGGAAUAUUGGACAAUGGAGGGAACUCUGAUCCAGCCAUGCCGCGUGAAGGAUGAAGGCGCUACGCGUCGUAAACUUCUUUUGAAUGGGGACAAAAUGCGGCUCGUGAGCCGUACUGAGGGUACCAUUAGAAUAAGCACCGGCUAACUCCGUGCCAGCAGCCGCGGUAAUACGGAGGGUGCGAGCGUUAUCCGGAAUCACUGGGUUUAAAGGGUGCGUAGGCGGUUUGGAAAGUCUGUCGUGAAAUGCUCCGGCUCAACCGGUAGAACUGCGAUGGAUACUUUCAAACUUGAAUUGGGUUGAGGCAGGCGGAAUGUGACAUGUAGCGGUGAAAUGCAUAGAUAUGUCAUAGAACACCGAUCGCGAAGGCAGCUUGCCAAGCCUUGAUUGACGCUGAGG
rnacentral:rRNA from 1 species